GAUGAACGCUGGCGGCGUGCCUAAUACAUUCAAGUAGAACGCUGAAGCUUGGUGCUUGCACCGAGCGGAUGAGUUGCGAACGGGUGAGUAACGCGUAGGUAACCUGCCUCUUAGCGGGGGAUAACUAUUGGAAACGAUAGCUAAUACCGCAUAAAAGACGAUAUCGCAUGAUAUUGAUUUGAAAGGUGCAAUUGCAUCACUAAGAGAUGGACCUGCGUUGUAUUAGCUAGUUGGUGAGGUAACGGCUCACCAAGGCGACGAUACAUAGCCGACCUGAGAGGGUGAUCGGCCACACUGGGACUGAGACACGGCCCAGACUCCUACGGGAGGCAGCAGUAGGGAAUCUUCGGCAAUGGGGGCAACCCUGACCGAGCAACGCCGCGUGAGUGAAGAAGGUUUUCGGAUCGUAAAGCUCUGUUGUAAGAGAAGAACGAGUGUGAGAGUGGAAAGUUCACACUGUGACGGUAACUUACCAGAAAGGGACGGCUAACUACGUGCCAGCAGCCGCGGUAAUACGUAGGUCCCGAGCGUUAUCCGGAUUUAUUGGGCGUAAAGCGAGCGCAGGCGGUUAGAUAAGUCUGAAGUUAAAGGCUGUGGCUUAACCAUAGUACGCUUUGGAAACUGUUUAACUUGAGUGCAGAAGGGGAGAGUGGAAUUCCAUGUGUAGCGGUGAAAUGCGUAGAUAUAUGGAGGAACACCGGUGGCGAAAGCGGCUCUCUGGUCUGUAACUGACGCUGAGGCUCGAAAGCGUGGGGAGCAACAGG
rnacentral:rRNA from 1 species